rnacentral:rRNA from 1 species
UACGUAGGGUGCAAGCGUUGCCCGGAUUUAUUGGGCGUAAAGGGCGCGUAGGCGGUCAGCACAAGUCAGUUGUGAAAUCUCCGGGCUUAACUCGGAAAGGUCAACUGAUACUGUGCGACUAGAGUGCAGAAGGGGCAACUGGAAUUCUCGGUGUAGCGGUGAAAUGCGUAGAUAUCGAGAGGAACACCUGCGGCGAAGGCGGGUUGCUGGGCUGAUACUGACGCUGAGGCGCGAAAGCCAGGGGAGCGAACGGG